rnacentral:lncRNA from 1 species
UUUUUUUUUUUUUUGCUUUUUUUGCUUUUUUUGCUUUUUAGGGUCACACCCGUGUCUUAAGGAAGUUCCCAGGCUAGGGGUGGAAUCGGAGCUACAGCUGCUGGCCUAUACCACAGCCCCAGCAACGAGGGAUUCAAGCCACAUCUGCACCCUAUACCACAGCUCACAGCCAUGCCAGAUCCAACCCACUGAGCAAGGCAAGGGAUCAAACCCUCAUCUUCAUGGAUGCUAGUCGGGCUUGUUACUGCUGAGCCACAAUGGGAACUUCUAUGAGCCUGUUUCUGUUGGAUUUCUUUGUUCAUUUGUUUUGUUUUUUAGAUUCCACAUAUCAGUGAAAUCAUAAAGUAUUUAUCUUUCUCUGUCUGACUUAUCUCACUUAGCAUAACUUCCUCAAGGUCCAUCCAUUGUUGUCCCAUGUGGCAAGAUUUUAUUCAUUUUAUGACUGAGUAAUAUUCCAUUGCAUAAAUAUACCAUAUUUUCUUUAUCCAUCUAUUGAUGGACACUUGAGCUGCUUCCAAAUCUUGGCUAUUGCAAAUAAUGCUUCAAUCAACAUAUGGGUCCAUAUAUAUCCUUUCAAAUUAUUGUUUCCAUUUCCUAUAGAUAAAUACCCAGAAGUGAAACUGAUGGAUCAUGUGGUAGUUCUAUUUUCAAUUUUUUUUUUUUUUUUUCCUAUUUCUUUGGGCCGCUCCCGCGGCAUAUGGAGGUUCCCAGGCUAGGGGUCAAAUUGGAGCUGUUGCCACAGCUACAGCAACACCAGAUCCAAGCCACGUCUGGGACCUACACCACAGCUCAUGGCAACACCAGAUCCUUAAUCAUUGAGCAGCGAGGCCAAGGAUCAAACCUGCAUCCUCAUGGAUACUAGUUAAAUUCGUUUCCACUGAGCCAGUACAACAGGAACUCCCUAGUCUCCAGCAUUAUUGUUUAAUUGCUAAUAAACUAAUCUUAUCUCUCAUUCCCAAGAAGAAUUACUAGUAUGAGACUGAUAAUUCUAACAUUUAGUAAACCCUGAAAGUAGGAGACUAGUCAGAAGUAUAAUUUGGGAAUUUCAAUAAAUUGAGGAUUCUGAUCAGGGAUUAUAUAAAUUAGCAUGGUUUACUAGACCUUUUUACCUAAAAUACACACUCUGGAGAACCGAGUUCAAGAAGCAUUAGAAUAUUUUCCCUAAUUUCUAGUACCUAAGCCAUUACCAACUGGUAAUACUUCUCUCCCAGAGAAUUCAGAGUUUCUGCAUGACUUUUAAAAGAGAAUAGGGUUGGGUUUUUUUUUUUUUUUUAAGUUAUUUU